CUAGUGGCGGACGGGUGAGUAACGCGUGGGUAACCUGCCUUAUACAGGGGGAUAACAACCAGAAAUGGUUGCUAAUACCGCAUAAGCGCACAGGACCGCAUGGUCCGGUGUGAAAAACUCCGGUGGUAUAAGAUGGACCCGCGUUGGAUUAGCUAGUUGGCAGGGCAACGGCCUACCAAGGCGACGAUCAGUAGCCGACUUGAGAGAGUGAUCGGCCACAUUGGGACUGAGACACGGCCCAAACUCCUACGGGAGGCAGCAUG
rnacentral:rRNA from 1 species